rnacentral:lncRNA from 1 species
UAUGGCCCGAUCUCUUUUAUAACUGUUCUCACAGUAUGUGUCUUAUUUGGGUUGUUCUGGUGACUAAACAAAUAGGUUUACUUCUGGCAAUGAAAGAGUUCAAGUCUCACACACAGGAGCUACGAUGGCAGGAAGAAAUUGUUCGUAACAUCAGUUCCCCACGCCUGUCUCAACUCAUUUAUUUCAACCAAGGUCUACAGAUAUAAAUAAAAGGAAAUGUUACUGGAGCAUUUUAACUUCAAACCAGCCUUGAAGCCAGUAAUGUAACCACAUAUCAUCAAAGCAAAAAGUGCUGAUUCUCCUUUUCUUAAAAAGGCCAAACCUGCAGGUCC